rnacentral:lncRNA from 10 species
GAGUGCAAUGACAUGAUCUUGGCUCACUGCAACCUCCACCUCCUAGAUUCAAGCAAUUCCUCUGCCUCAGCCUCCCGAGUAGCUGGGAUUACAGGCAUGCGCCACCACACCUGGCUACUUUUUAAAAUAUUUUUAGUAGAGAGGGGGUUUCACCAUGUUGGCUUAGGCUAGUCUCGAACUCCUGGCUUCAAGUGAUUCACCCGCCUUGGCCUCCUACAGUGCUGGAAUUACAGGCGUGAGCCACCACGCCAGGCAAAGUGAAGUUGCUUUCAACAGGGAAAAACAGAAUGUUGUGAACAGCCCUGACAAUGGCCACAGUCAGCCAGUCUGUUUGCGGAUAUAAGAAGCCAGCAGGCUUUGAUAAGAUAUAGUCCAUGACUAAUCUAUUCCUAUUUUGAACCCCUACAAGUUUGAUUUGUGGUUUCGUCUGCCACCUUCCCUAAAAUGGGAGUGUGAGUCCUAAAAGAGAUGCAUCUUCCGUAAUGUUAAUGAACUCAGAUUUAGCAUGUGGAAAGCGGUUAUAAGAUACAAAGACUCUCCGGAAAUAAAAAUGUGCCGACGGGUUGUGACAAGUUAUGAUGCCCUUAUCCGCCUCGGCUUGAUGGGUGGCAUCUGUCAUUGUGUCUGGCAUCAGCGAGGUCUUGGGGUCUUAGAAUCACUGGUAUUGUCCUGUGUCUCCACUCUGGAAGCCAAACCCACUCACGGCCCUGCUGUCAGUGACCCUCUUUUCUGACUGGGGAGUGUCUCACAGGCUAGCACAGGCUGGCUGUCACUCAGGCCCUGUGGGGCUGCGGAGCAGGGUCUGUACUGGCACAGACAGCCCAGGGCCUCAUUUAACAACCAGCUCGGUGUCUGCGCCCCAUCAGCAGAAAUUAGCCCUGGAGUCUCCUGGAGUGAGGCCCAGCGUUACUUCAUUCAGGACAUGAUGCAACGACAGGGCAGGAGGACACAGAGACCUGGGGCCAUCUGUCCACUUCCUGGUGGUGGCAGGAGUUAGGCAGCCUUUAAGUUGAGCUCUUCUGGCUAGAGGCAUCUCACCCUCUUCCCUGCUUUAUUCUUACUCCCCCUAUGCCUCCCCAAGGAGCCCUAGGGAAGGAUGCUGGGCAAGGGGUCUGAGCUGUAGGGAUGUGGGAGGAGAUGUGGGCUGAAGACAGGGACAACUGUCUCCCUUCAAAGCACUAAAGAGAGCCAAGGAUAUUUGGCAGCAGGCACCUCACCUGCCAUGCAGCACCCAAGUUGACUCAUGGAAGUCGGUCCUGAGAAUAAUGCAGGCAGUGACAGACCCUGCGUGGUGGCAAUGCUUGGAAGGAGGACUCCACAAAGGAGUGUCUUCACUUUGUCUUCCGAGCAUCAUGACAAGGCUGUGGCAGAGGGUGACAAGCCAAGCCUCAGAGCACUUCCCCAGUUCAUCUCAGGCCUCAGCAAGCUCCAGGAGCGCCUGGAGUAGACCCUGGACUUCUGACUCUUGCCCAAGGCUCUUAGGAAACAGAACAGGCCCAGGGCGUUGAUCAAAGGCAGGGCCCAUGCCAACGGCAGAAGUGCCUGCAUGUGGCAAAAGGAAGGUCUGGGCUGAGAAAGGUCCUGCCAACUUGAAUGAUUUAAUUGGGACUUGCCCGUGAGGAAUGGGAAAAACAGGGGCCUUCCCCAGCUCAAUCCCACAGAGCUGGAGGCCACACACAAAGGCAGAAACAGAUAAAGAACCCUACUCUUCCUUGGGAAUUUGAGGUCAGCAUCAGUGCCAAGGGGAAGCCACAGACUGCCUUCCCGAGCAGCGGCGAAACCCACCCUGCCCAGCCCCAGCUGAAGCUCCAGGGGCAGAAGCCACUGCUCCUCCCUCCUCCUUCUGCCCCUUCCCACCAACCUGUGUCAGAAUUGCAGACCACACAGCUCAGGAGCAGGAGGCCCUGCAGAUGUCACCUAAUCUACAUCCUAGGCUGACCCCCAAGAGAAAGGGCCUCAGUUUCCCUAGC